GGCGUUGGUCCCUAUGGCCUCUGGUGACCCAUGUCGGAAGGAAACAGAUCAUUUCGUCACUGGAAAGCAAAGGCGCCAAGAGAAUUGGUACCCUGUCAUUGUGCUAACUAGGUGAGGAAACUGAGACCCAGAGAGAGCAAAUGAAAUGCCCAAGUUCACAAAGGUAAUGGUGACUCAUCUGGAGCUAAAAUCCAGGUCCAAGACUCCUACUCUGCUGUUCUUUCUGCAGUCCUACAUGACCUAAUGUCACGGUGUAACUGAGAACGAAGCCGUUACUAUAGUAUCAUGUCCUCCAAACGUCAGGCAUUUUUGGACCACCUUAAUGAUUUUUGCUAUAGCUUAUACGCCUCCACUAUUAUUUAUUUCAUACUUUUUGCUUUAAAUAAAUUUAAUUUACAUAACAUCUUCA